rnacentral:rRNA from 1 species
AUUGAACGCUGGCGGCAUGCCUUACACAUGCAAGUCGAACGGCAGCACGGGAGCAAUCCUGGUGGCGAGUGGCGAACGGGUGAGUAAAGUAUCGGAACGUGCCCAGUCGUGGGGGAUAACGUAGCGAAAGUUACGCUAAUACCGCAUACGAUCUAUGGAUGAAAGCGGGGGAUCGCAAGACCUCGCGCGAUUGGAGCGGCCGAUGUCAGAUUAGGUAGUUGGUGGGGUAAAGGCUCACCAAGCCGACGAUCUGUAGCUGGUCUGAGAGGACGACCAGCCACACUGGGACUGGGACACGGCCCAGACUCCUACGGGAGGCAGCAGUGGGGAAUUCUGGACAAUGGGCGAAAGCCUGAUCCAGCCAUGCCGCGUGCAGGAUGAAGGCCUUCGGGUUGUAAACUGCUUUUGUACGGAACGAAAAGGUUUGGGCUAAUAAGCUGAGCUCAUGACGGUACCGUAAGAAUAAGCACCGGCUAACUACGUGCCAGCAGCCGCAGUAA